AAGCAAAACAAACAAGAUAAAGGCAUUUAUUAGAGCUGACUUGGAUCUCUUUCUUGUUCAGCCUCUAGAUUUGGGGUAAUGCUUACUCUACCCACGGCCAUGCAAGUGGCAUAACUGGGGAUAAAGAAGCAAUGACCUGGACAUGCUUUUGUGGACCUCACAGAGCAUAGGAAAGAACAAAAAAACCUGAGAUGCUGCAUCCGUGGGUGGGACUACAGAAAUGAACAAAAAAGAUCAACUUAAAUUCACACUACAAGUUAUGCAAUUUGAACUUAGGCUCAAAUAAGGCUUUCAAGAAUGAUUUGUGUCAUCAAGUACAAAGUUCUGGAAGAUUUCUAUUCGUCAACAAGAAGGCAUUCCAUUGUUCUAAGGGAGACAUAGUGUUGGUACAUAAUGGAUAAUUGGCUUCAAGUGUGAAGAAGUUCAGUCAUCAAGAAAAAGAACAGCUCAAGGCUUACAGAGUCACUGGAUAAUGAAUCUCUCCAAAGAAGCUUGGAGGCCUGAUUUUCUAAAUUGGCUAGGCUCUAUAGCACAGAGGCAUCUGUACAGAGAAGCCAGCUGACCUCAGACUUUACAGGGUACAAAUUUGAAUAUCAGGUUACUCCUCCCUUUCCCACUACUUUCCAGUAUCAGUUGCUGUUAAUUCUUCUUUGGAGCCUUUAGAGGGCAGCAGCACACAAGCUGACUCCAAGAAGCAUUUCAGGAAGACAAAAUCCCCACUAGAAUCUUCCUCCUGGUCACCAUGCCAAAGGUCACAAUAAAACAGAACAGAAUCAGCUCUUUAUCUCCAUCUACCUACUUUGCUGCCCAGAAGUGAUAAAACCACAAAACGCUCAACUCACGGACUGCAACAUAUCAUUGAAUGGAUCAAUGGGAGAGGAGAUAGAAAAGCAGAAGAAGGGAGUGGCUCAGGGGAGAGGGAAAGAAGAGGAAG